CCAGUCGGCUGGACGGCCGCUGCUCACGCAGAGGAAAGUCCGGGCUCCACGGAGAAACGGCGCCGGAUAACGUCCGGCGGGGGUGACCCCAGGGAUAGCGCCACAGAGAUCGAACCGCCAGAUGGAGGCAACUCCGGACGGUAAGGGUGAAAAGGUGCGGUAAGAGCGCACCGCGCGGCCGGCAACGGGCGCGGCAUGGCAAGCCCCGCCGGGAGCAAAACCGAAUAGGGGCGGCAAGGACCUUCGGGUCCGGAUCCUUCUUCGGAUCGUCGCCCGGGUUGGUUGCUUGAGGCGGCUGGUAACAGUCGUCCCAGAGGAAUGGCCGUCACGUCGCAGCUCACGCUGCGGCCCUACAAAACCCGGCUUACAGGCCGACUGGCACU
rnacentral:RNase_P_RNA from 1 species